UCACUGACACUGCAUACCUGAUCAGU
rnacentral:piRNA from 1 species